rnacentral:sRNA from 1 species
GGUUUGCGUGAGGGAUAGCAAUGGAAAUCCUUUUUGUUUUGCAGGAACACGCCUCAACGAUUCGCUCGGACUUGGUCAGGCAAAACAAAAAGAUUGCAAUGAAUAGCCCGGCCCUUG